rnacentral:misc_RNA from 1 species
CCCCCGGGCUUGGUGUUGGGGAUCGGCCGCAGCCCCGCGCGAGCGGUGGCAGGCCGUCCCCCAAAUCCAGUGGCGGUCACGCCGCAGCAUCCCCUGCGUAGUAGCACAACCUCGCACCGGAACGCAGCGCGACCACGCCGUAAAACCCCCAACUUCUGAAGUUUGACCUCGGAUCAGGUAGGAAUACCCGCUGAACUUAA